rnacentral:rRNA from 1 species
CACGUAGGGAGCAAGCGUUGUCCGGAUUUAUUGGGCGUAAAGAGCUCGUAGGGGGUUCGGUAAGUCGGGUGUGAAAACUCUGGGCUCAACUCAGAGACGCCACCCGAUACUGCUGUGACUCGAGUCUGGUAGGGGAGUGUGGAAUUCCCAGUGUAGCGGUGAAAUGCGCAGAUAUUGGGAGGAACACCAGUGGCGAAGGCGGCACUCUGGGCCAGUACUGACACUGAGGAGCGAAAGCGUGGGUAGCGAACAGG